rnacentral:ribozyme from 12 species
AAUUCUUUCUUCUUUUUCUUUUUAAACUAUUCAUGACAGUAUACGAACAAAAAAAGACAAAGCAAAACACUUUAUAUUCGUACAUACUUUUUGGUUCGGAUAUGCCUUAUAACUUGUUUAUUCGUCGACAAAACGUACUGUA